rnacentral:rRNA from 1 species
AAAGAAACUGCCCGUGAUAAGCGGGAGGAAGGUGUGGAUGACGUCAAGUCCUCAUGGCCCUUACGGGUUGGGCUACACACGUGCUACAAUGGCAGUGACAAUGGGUUAAUCCCAAAAAACUGUCUCAGUUCGGAUUGUCGUCUGCAACUCGACGGCAUGAAGUCGGAAUCGCUAGUAAUCGCGUAACAGCAUGACGCGGUGAAUACGUUCCCGGGCCUUGUACACACCGCCCGUCACACCAUGGGAGUUGGUUCUACCUGACGACGCUGCGCUAACCUUUCGAGGGGGCAGGCGGCCACGGUAGGAUCAGCGACUGGGGUGAAGUCGUAACAAGGUAACA